rnacentral:lncRNA from 1 species
UCAGCAGUGACAUGGCAGCGGGGAGGAAGGAAGAAAACAGGCUGUCUUUGUGUGGCUGGUGAUGCCUAAGUGCUGGAGCGUGAGACAGUCCCCAGGCCCUGUGCCAUAGCUGACAUGCAGGAAUAGGCGUUGGCACUGGAAGGAACAUCUGACUCUUGGCUCCCACUAAGAUGCUGCCAGAGCGGCUGGUCUCAAAGGGCAAAACAACAGCCCCUGAUGGAAAGUCUUCACGACGCAGCCUCCGAGGUCCUUCUGCUCAAGCCUUCACUGCUCCAAGAGUAAUCAGUCACGUGUCUCAGUAGCAGGAAUGAAAUCUUUGACCUCACAGCAAGUGAAGCUGGUGAAGGAACAGAAGAGAAGUGAGAAUGGGUCCAUCUCCACAAUGAGGGGAGGACAGCAUGGAAGAG